UUCCGGUUGAUCCUGCCGGACCUGACUGCUAUUGGGGUAAGGCUAAGCCAUGGGAGCCGAACGCCCUAUCACUAUAGGGCGUGACGCACGGCUGAGUAACACGUAGCUAACCUACCCUCGGGACUGGGAUAACUCCGGGAAACUGGAGCUAAACCCGGAUAGGUGAGGAGUCCUGGAACGGUUCCUCACCUAAAGAGAUCCUAGGGAGUUACUGCUUAGGAUCUGCCCGAGGAUGGGGCUACGGCCCAUCAUGGUAGUUGGCGGGGUAAUGGCCCGCCAAGCCUACGACGGGUAGGGGCCCUGGGAGGGGGAGCCCCCAGAUGGACCCUGAGACAAGGGUCCAGGCCCUACGGGGCGCACCAGGCGCGAAACCUCUGCAAUGCGGGCAACCGUGACAGGGUUACCCCAAGUGCUCCCGUUAAGGGAGCUUUUCCUCGCUGUAAGGGGGCGAGGGAAUAAGCGGGGGGCAAGACUGGUGUCAGCCGCCGCGGUAAUACCAGCCCCGCGAGUGGUCAGGACGAUUACUGGGCCUAAAGCGCCCGUAGCCGGUCUAGCAAGUCCUCUCUGAAAGCUCCGGGCCUAACCCGGAGAGUGGAGAGGAUACUGCUAGGCUAGGGGGCGGGAAAGGCCGGGGGUACUCCUAGGGUAGGGGCGAAAUCCGAUAAUCCUAGGAGGACCACCAGUGGCGAAGGCGCCCGGCUGGAACGCGCCCGACGGUGAGGGGCGAAAGCUGGGGGAGCGAACCGGAUUAGAUACCCGGGUAGUCCCAGCUGUAAACGAUGCAGGCUAGGUGUUAGAUGGGCGUUAGUGCCCAUCUAGUGCCGCAGGGAAGCCGUUAAGCCUGCCGCCUGGGGAGUACGGCCGCAAGGCUGAAACUUAAAGGAAUUGGCGGGGGGGCACACAAGGGGUGGAGCCUGCGGCUCAAUUGGAGUCAACGCCGGG
rnacentral:rRNA from 1 species